rnacentral:rRNA from 1 species
GUCUACAGCCAUACCACCCUGAACGAGCCUGAUCCCAUCUGAUCUCGGAAGCAAAGCAGGGUCGGGCCUGGAGUACUUGGAUGGGAGACCACCUAGGAAGACCAGGUGCUAUAGACG